rnacentral:rRNA from 1 species
GUAGGUGGCAAGCGUUGUCCGGAAUUAUUGGGCGUAAAGCGCGCGCAGGUGGUUCUUUAAGUCUGAUGUGAAAGCCCCCGGCUCAACCGGGGAGGGUCAUUGGAAACUGGGGAACUUGAGUGCAGGAGAGGAAAGUGGAAUUCCACGUGUAGCGGUGAAAUGCGUAGAUAUGUGGAGGAACACCAGUGGCGAAGGCGACUUUCUGGCCUGUAACUGACACUGAGGCGCGAAAGCGUGGGGAGCAAACAGGGAUUAGAUACCCUGGUAGUCCACGCCGUAAACGAUGAGUGCUAAGUGUUGGGGGGGUUUCCCGCCCCUCAGUGCUGCAGCUAACGCAUUAAGCGCUCCGCCUGGGGAGUACGGUCGCAAGACUG